GACGAACGCUGGCGGCGUGCUUAACACAUGCAAGUCGAACGGAAAGGCCCUGCUUUUGUGGGGUGCUCGAGUGGCGAACGGGUGAGUAACACGUGAGUAACCUGCCCUUGACUUUGGGAUAACGUCAGGAAACUGGGGCUAAUACCGGAUAGGAGCUCCUGCUGCCUGGUGGGGGUUGGAAAGUUUCUGCGGUGGGGGAUGGACUCGCGGCUUAUCAGCUUGUUGGUGGGGUAGUGGCUUACCAAGGCUUUGUCGGGUAGCCGGCCGGGGGGGGUGACCGGCCACAUUGGGACUGAGAUACGGCCGAGACUACUAGGGGGGGCAGCAGUGGGGAAUAUUGCACAAUGGGGGGAAGCCUGAUGCAGCAACGCCGCGUGCGGGAUGACGUCCUUCGGGUUGUAAACCGAUUUCGCCUGUGACGAAGCGUGAGUGACGGUAAUGGGUAAAGAAGCACCGGCUAACUACGUG
rnacentral:rRNA from 1 species